rnacentral:rRNA from 1 species
GUCUACAGCCACACCACCCUGAACGCGCCGGAUCCCGUCUGAUCUCAGAAGCUAAGCAGGGUCAGGCCUGGUUAGUAUUUAGGUGGGAGAUGCACUGCAAGUGUAAAACACAAAUC